rnacentral:tRNA from 1 species
GACCGCGUAGCUCAGUUGUAAGAGCAUUGGGCUAGUAUUCCAAAGGUCGUAGGUUCGAAUCCCACCGUGGCCG